UGCCCAAGACGCCACAUAGUGGGAAUGAACCUGGAACCAUGUGGUUAGUAAGCAAGCUACUUACCACACAGCCACUCCUGCACUGUUAAAGAACUCAAAAUAUUGAGCCUCCAACCAGACCUUUUGUGAUACUCUUAAAGCCAGGAACCUUUUAGCACUUUGUAUAAUUCGAGAGAUUUGGCAGCCAUUUCUUGUAGGUUAAAAUGUAGAGCGUACAUUAACUGGGCAUCCCUGUGUUGGGAAGACAUGAACAAUUAAUUGGCUAGGAGAAAGGAGCA